CGACGUUCUCAGGGCGGGGUGCAAUUCCCCACCGGCGGUGAUGGCGCGCAGCGCCCAGCCCGCGAGCGCCUGCCUUGCCCCGACCGGGGACGGCAGGGUCAGCAGAUCCGGUGUGAUUCCGGAGCCGACGGUGACAGUCCGGAUGAGAGAGAGCGGGA
rnacentral:ncRNA from 1 species